rnacentral:rRNA from 1 species
GACGAACGCUGGCGGCGUGCUUAACACAUGCAAGUCGAACGAAGAGCGAUGGAAGCUUGCUUCUAUCAAUCUUAGUGGCGAACGUGUGAGUAACGCGUAAUCAACCUGCCCUUCAGAGGGGGACAACAGUUGGAAACGACUGCUCAUACCGCAUACGAUCUAAUCUCGGCAUCGAGGAUAGAUUAAAGGUGGCCUCUACAUGUAAGCUCUCACUGAAGGAGGGGAUUGCGUCUAAUUAGCUAGUUGGCGGGGUAACGGCCCACCAAGGCGAUGAUCAGUAGCCGGUCUGAGAGGAUGAACGGCCACAUUGGGACUGAGACACGGCCCAGACUCCUACGGGAGGCAGCAGUGGGGAAUCUUCCGCAAUGGACGAAAGUCUGACGGAGCAACGCCGCGUGAGUGAUGACGGCCUUCGGGUUGUAAAGCUCUGUUAAUCGGGACGAAAGGCCUUCUUGCGAAUAGUGAGAAGGAUUGACGGUACCGGAAGAGAAAGCCACGGCUAACUACGUG